rnacentral:rRNA from 1 species
UACGUAGGUGACCAGCGUUGUCCGGAUUUACUGGGCGUAAAGAGCGCGCAGGCGGUCGUUCAAGUCGAGUGUGAAAGCCCCCGGCUCAACUGGGGAGGGUCACUCGAUACUGAUCGACUUGAAGGCAGGAGAGGGAAGCGGAAUUCCCGGUGUAGUGGUGAAAUGCGUAGAUAUCGGGAGGAACACCAGUGGCGAAGGCG